rnacentral:lncRNA from 1 species
GUAUGCUUUUUCCUUGUUAAUCUGUUUUUUUCUGUUACAGGAGCUCCAAUCAAGAACCUAGGAGGGUAGAAGGAAAAGUCUUUUCCUUUGCUACCCUAUGUUACAGAUGAGGACACUGAGGCUCAGAGAGGGGAAGCGACCUGCCCAAGGUCACACAGCCAGCACAAGGUAGAGCUGGGAUUCGAACCCAGCUCUUAAUGGGAUUCGAACUGGCUCUUCUGUUACACUUUCACUCCUGAUGCUAGCUUUGGUGUGAACCAAACCAGAACCCAUCAAGUGUUUAGCAAAGCACCAGGCAAACAGUAAGUGCUCAACAAAUGCAUGGUUCUUUUCCUUGUUUUCUUUCCUUGACUUUCAGGACAAAGCUGUUACUCCUCAAUGGGCUUGAUGAUUGACACUGGCUCGAUGAUUUACUCCGCCCAACACCAUGUGUCUCUUACUCCAGUGCUGGGGUGAAAUCACGUGGUGAUCCCACUCCACAUCUCACCCUCAUCUUCUGCCAUCAUCUAAAUAGUUCCUGGCAGAAGCAAUCUAUCCUCUUUCAGGGAGUCAUCCUGGAUGGGCACCUCCCUGCCAGGUGCUGAGACUGAGGCUCUGAGACUUGAAGGAAUUUGUAGACAUGAGGUGAUCUGUAGGCAUGAGGAUAAAGGAGGGCUGUGAACCGCCACUCAGGAACACAGGAGCACAUCCUUGUGCAGGUGACGUUUGGGGAGACCCUUGACAAAGGGCUAGCCUCUUAACAGGGAGACGUGGGGAGGUGAGGAGAGAAGGGAAGGGCAAGCUGGGCAGAGGAGACCACGGGAGCAAGGCAGGAAGAUAGGACUGGCUUCCGGUAUCUUCAAGGAUUGGAUGGAGAGGGUGGAAGGAAAAUAGGGCUGGACUGUGAAGCACCUUGGGCAGCAGCCAGCAGCCAGAGGACAAGGUCUCAGCAGCUAGGAAGCUCAGAGCGUGCCUGAGCAAUGAGACCCUUGGAUGGGAAUCAGGCAGGGAGAGGAAGGCUGCUGGGGGUCGGGAGGGAUUUGUGCCUCAGAUAGGAUGUGUGUUCCUGGCUUCUAGAAGAUCGCUC